rnacentral:rRNA from 1 species
AGCGAACGCUGGCGGCAGGCCUAAUACAUGCAAGUCGAACGAACACAUCGGAGGUAUGGGCGGAUGGGUGUGUAACCCGAGGGAACGUUCCCUUAUGGUUGGAGUACCUCUGAGAAACUUGUGCCAACACCGAACGUGCCCUUCUGGGGAAUGAUUUAUCGACCUUCGAGCGGCCCUCGUGUGAUUAGCUAGUUGGUUAGGUAAAGGCUCACUAAGGCGACGAUCAGUAGCUGGUCUGAGAGGAUGGUCAGCCACAUUGGGACUAGGACACGGCCCAAACUCCUACGGGAGGCAGCAAUGGGGGAUCUUGCGAAAUGGGCGAAAGCCUGACGCUGCCAGGCCGGGUGAAUGAUGAAAGUCGUAGGAUUGUAAUAUUCUUUCAACGGUGACGAUAAUGACGGUACCCGGAGAAGAAGCCCCGGCUAACUUCGUG